UACGAAGGGGGCUAGCGUUGUUCGGAAUUACUGGGCGUAAAGCGCACGUAGGCGGAUCGAUCAGUCAGGGGUGAAAUCCCAGGGCUCAACCCUGGAACUGCCUUUGAUACUGUCGAUCUGGAGUAUGGGAGAGGUGAGUGGAAUUCCGAGUGUAGAGGUGAAAUUCGUAGAUAUUCGGAGGAACACCAGUGGCGAAGGCGGCUCACUGGUCCAUUACUGACGCUGAGGUGCGAAAGCGUGGGGAGCAAACAGG
rnacentral:rRNA from 1 species